rnacentral:rRNA from 1 species
UACGUAGGGUGCGAGCGUUGUCCGGAAUUAUUGGGCGUAAAGGGCUCGUAGGCGGUUUGUCGCGUCGGGAGUGAAGUCAUCUGGCUUAACUGGGUGCUUGCUUUCGAUACGGGCAGACUAGAGGUAUGCAGGGGAGAACGGAAUUCCUGGUGUAGCGGUGAAAUGCGCAGAUAUCAGGAGGAACACCGGUGGCGAAGGCGGAUCUCUGGGCCUUACCUGACGCUGAGGAGCGAAAGCAUGGGGAGCAAACAGG